CCAUUGGUCCCUCAACUUUAAUCCAACUGAAGAAAUUGUCCCUCAAUUUUAACCCAAUUGGAAUAAUGGUCCCUCAAACUUUAACUCAAUCGUAACAAUGGUUUUUCCAACAUAACUUAUUUUGACAAAAUUUUGAUGAAGUUGACGAAGGGGACCAUAGCUACACGUUUUGAUGAGUUAAAGGACCCCAAUUGUAGCAAUGGUCAUUCCAACAUAACUUAUUUUGACAAAAUUUUGAUGAAAGUUGAUGAAAAGGACCGUAGCUACACAUUUAAUAAGUUGAGGGACCAAUGGUAUUGGAUUUUUAGUUGAGGGACCAUUGCUCCAAUUUGAUUAAAAUUGAGAGACCAUUGCUACAAUUUAGUCUUGUAAUUAAUCACCUCUGCUGCCAGUCUCCUACUUGACACCGCAAGAUUUUGCUUGUCCAAAACCCCAACACACACUCCCUACCCCUACUUCCAACUUCCCCCUUCACAGACACAACAAAGCUCGACAGCAAUGGCUUUACUUCGUCAUCUCUCUUUCCCCACUGAACAACUCCUCCCUCUCACACCUCUCCUCUCUCUCCAAAAUCCACACCACCUCUCCAAGCACGCUUAGACCACUCUCUCGCUCUCCACCUCUGUUUCCUCCCCCUCUAUCUUUCUCCCCCAAACCCACUCUCGCUCCUCCUCCCUCAGGGCCAAAAAGCUCGGCAAUUUUGUUCUCCACUUCUCCUCCGCCGCCCAAGACCAAGCCCUUGACGAAACCCCAGUUCUGGAGGCAGAGCCCGAAGAGUUCUCCGACACAAGAUUGCUUGCCCAGAAUGUUCCUUGGCAUUGUACCCCGGAAGACGUCCGUACUGUGUUCGAGAAGUACGGCACCGUCGUGGACGUUGAGGUUUUUCACCUCUCCCAGACCCUGCGUAAAGCGGGAGCCUUGUGCACUGGCUUGCCAUGUAUGACAAGACCAGGAACAGGGGUUUGGCAUUUGUAACAAUGGGUUCGCCCUAGGAGGCUCGUACGGCUCUGGAUAAUCUCGAAUCAUCUAAAUGGAGGGUCGUGUCAUAAAGAUGGCUUAUGCCAGGCCAAAAAAGACGAAGAUUCCUCCCCCUUCUUCGGAACCCAAGCCAAUAACUUUCAAUUUGUAUGUGGAAAAUCUGCCAUAUGAAGCAAGAUCUAAAGAUCUCAAGGAUAUGGAUUUGUGGGCUUCAAAACCAAGGCCGAGGCUGAGGCAGCUCACACGGGAAGCUGCUUAUGGGAAGACGAAUUCGUGUGGCACGUGGUAAACAAUUUGUUAAAGUGCCAAAAACAGAAAGUUCUAAGUUGGGUGAUAAAUGUACAGAAUUGAAUUCUAGCGUCGAGGAAGAUAACACAGUUGUCAAUGAUACAAACUGAAAUUUGGCUGGCACGGUGAAAUUUCAGCAUUGUCUUCACAUCAUAUUUGUGUAGGAACAUUUGUGUAUGCUCACUCGGACUUUCCCUGCAUACUUGGUGAGAUUCUCGCCCAUCGUUUGGGAGGGAGGGGGGGGGGGGGGUGGGGUGAACAUUCAAUGGGUUCCGUCACUUUGGUACUUGUACAAGUUGCUGGAAGGCUCGAAGCUGGUUAUGUACGUAGGCUACAAGUUUGGAUAAAUUGAGCUACUUGUACUAGAAAAUAUUUCAGUCUCUUGAUGUAUCUUGUCACCUAACUCUAAGACUUUAAGUUCAUUUUUGAGAUCUUAUUUCUUAUAUAUGUGACAUUUAGUCUUCCUUGUAAAGAAAAAAAAAUGGAAUCCUAAUCAAGUUUCCAUUGUUUUU